CAAGAACUUAAUGUAAUACAAUAUAUAUACACUAACUCUGUGGUAACCUUUGGUACUUUCUUAAACUUUGGUCAUAAAUUCUCUAUGAAUGAGAUAUUCUCUUGGUGAUACUGCUCAAGUGUUUCAAGUUUUAAUUGAGAUCAUAUUUAAUAAUAAUGUUUCCUGCACCUGGUAUUUCUACUGGCAUUUUGAGUUCCAUGUAUAGUAAAAUAAUUGUUGUUCUUUUCAGCAUUUAACUGUUUAUAUAUAGUUGAAGGUCUGGCUUUUGUUAAUAGUGUAUAUUGGGUGCAUUUUGAUGAAGUAUUUUCUGACAAGAUCAAAUUGAGUUGCUUGUGCCCAUGUAGAUCAAUAAAUUAAACAAAUAGUCGCAAUUGGAAAGCUUAAGAGCCGAGACAAAAAGGAAAGUGCAUUUGAAGUGGCAAGAGAGAGUGAAAGAAAUGGGUCAGGCAUUUCAUCGAGCAUCUGGAAGAAUACGAACUUCAUCCGAAGUCAUUAUUCCCAAACCUAAGAAGGUCGUCGAUCCACCGCCCCCACAGAAGGUGGAUGUUUCCAAGACCGCCGCACAACCACAAGACACACUAAACGCCGAUAAGUUACUUUAAAGAUGGUGGCUCUAAAGUUAACUUGGAGAAUGUUCUGGAAGAAAGAGAUCCAUAAUACGAUGCCGUGCUUGGUCAAAUGCUUGGUAGAAUUACUACAAAGCCCGGGGGAAAAUUCGAAAUGAGUGAGGUGGUGGUUACGCCUGGAGGUUGUUGGAGUAGGUUCAAGACUUACUCAACAAUACAAAGAAUGUUGGAAAUUUGGGGGUUUGUUUUCACUUUCAUCUUCAAGGCUUAGCUCAAUAAUCAGAAAUUCACUUAUAAAGCAGCGGUGGCUAUAUUUAUCCCUAUAAUUUAAAAAGAGGAAAAUUUACUAUGAGCUGUGGAAAUUAGAACCAAAGGUUAAUCACUUAAUAACGGAGUGUGGGUAACAACAGCAGUAACACGGGAUCACAAGAAAUUGUUGAAGAGGACAAGAGAGAGUUUCUUGUGUUGAAGAGUUGCUUCUGAAGUAAUUGCUGAAGUUGAAUACUAUUGAGGUUGAAGGUGAAGCGAAGUUGCGGAGAAAAGUUGAGGAAUAAGUUACAAGUACAAUUGUUAGCUUUACAUGUUUGGAUUAAGUUGAGAUUUUUUGAAUUUAUAUUUUAUGGAUUAUGACUAUGUAAAACUUGUAGAAUUCAACUUUUGAAAUACAUUGUUGCUAUUUUUAUAAAACUUGUGGGAUUGAGUU